CCCUUGUACCAGACCCUCGACUCUCCCUAUAUUCAAUCUGUCGGGCAACCGACUAUGGCGCUAAAGGGCCAUGCGAAAUAAGCGCUACGGACCCGGGGGCAGUACCCGGCGCCUCCACCAGUUUCCCGGGCGAUCGAGAUGCCGGAUCGGCAUCGAAGAUCGCCCGCCCAUGGGGGCGAACUAGGAUCGACGUGCGUGGUAAAGGUAUGUGUCUGCGUUCGGUAUGGUACCACCGUUAUCGGGCCAAGGCAUUACAUGCCAACGAUAACUUCGCGGGCACUGCCCGCCUCGCUGCUUAAUCUUCUGAUUGGGUAAGCGCGGUCCGGGGGGCACCGGGCAACAGAAGCCCCCCACU
rnacentral:tmRNA from 1 species